rnacentral:rRNA from 1 species
CCUACGGGAGGCAGCAGUAGGGAAUCUUCCACAAUGGACGAAAGUCUGAUGGAGCAACGCCGCGUGAGCGAUGAAGGCCUUCGGGUCGUAAAGCUCUGUUGUUAGGGAAGAACAAGUAUCGGAGUAACUGCCGGUACCUUGACGGUACCUAACCAGAAAGCCACGGCUAACUACGUGCCAGCAGCCGCGGUAAUACGUAGGUGGCAAGCGUUGUCCGGAAUUAUUGGGCGUAAAGCGCGCGCAGGCGGUCCUUUAAGUCUGAUGUGAAAGCCCACGGCUCAACCGUGGAGGGUCAUUGGAAACUGGGGGACUUGAGUGCAGAAGAGGAAAGCGGAAUUCCACGUGUAGCGGUGAAAUGCGUAGAGAUGUGGAGGAACACCAGUGGCGAAGGCGGCUUUCUGGUCUGUAACUGACGCUGAGGCGCGAAAGCGUGGGGAGCAAACAGGAUUAGAUACCCUGGUAGUCCACGCCGUAAACGAUGAGUGCUAAGUGUUGGUAGUAUUAAUCCUAUCAGUGCCGUAGCUAACGCGAUAAGUUCGCCGCCUGGGGACUACGGCCGCAAGGCUAAAACUCAAAGGAAUUGACGG